CAGCAAGUGUGUUGGACAUAAGUGUAGUAGGUAUUGCUACCUAAACACCAGUAGUACGAAACUGAGACAAAAGAAAAGACAGAAAAGAAGGACAGUCCCCGGGGUCACCUUUGUGAGGACCAAGGACAUGAAACAUCCAGAGGCCAGCUGACUCAACAAGUAACUAAAGAGGGGCCACUGAAAUGCACUGCAAGUGUAAAGAGGAGUCUGAAAGUGUGCAGAUAGUGAAAGUGAAAGUGUUCUACUAGGAUCCAGCUGCCCAUUAACCUCCAGCAACAAAAGUCAAAGAUUGGGGCCCAGAAAACAAUCACAGCGAUGAAAAAAGGACUAUACCAGAUUCAAGUGGAGUCAAGGCCCAUGACAGCACGGGAUCCACGAGCACCACAUCGAGGGGCCAGAUGUUGCAAGUGACCCUGCUCAGACACCACUUGGGGAAGAGAGUGAGAUUCAGCAAGAACUACACAGGCCCUGAGAGUCAAAAGUAGAACCCGCAUUCACUGAAUAUGAAAAAGCAACAUGAAUACUGAUACAUGAGCUUUAUAUGGAAGCAGCCCCAGUUCUAAAACUGAAGAGAGCUUUCUUUGCCCUUCAAAGGCCCGACCUCUCCUGAGGUGAGGUAAGUGUACUCUCUGCUCCUACCCAACUCCUACUCAGCACUCCCAUCAC
rnacentral:lncRNA from 1 species